rnacentral:rRNA from 1 species
AACGCUGAAGAGAGGAGCUUGCUCUUCUUGGAUGAGUUGCGAACGGGUGAGUAACGCGUAGGUAACCUGCCUUGUAGCGGGGGAUAACUAUUGGAAACGAUAGCUAAUACCGCAUAACAAUGGAUGACACAUGUCAUUUAUUUGAAAGGGGCAAUUGCUCCACUACAAGAUGGACCUGCGUUGUAUUAGCUAGUAGGUGAGGUAACGGCUCACCUAGGCGACGAUACAUAGCCGACCUGAGAGGGUGAUCGGCCACACUGGGACUGAGACACGGCCCAGACUCCUACGGGAGGCAGCAGUAGGGAAUCUUCGGCAAUGGGGGCAACCCUGACCGAGCAACGCCGCGUGAGUGAAGAAGGUUUUCGGAUCGUAAAGCUCUGUUGUAAGUCAAGAACGAGUGUGAGAGUGGAAAGUUCACACUGUGACGGUAGCUUACCAGAAAGGGACGGCUAACUACGUGCCAGCAGCCGCGGUAAUACGUAGGUCCCGAGCGUUGUCCGGAUUUAUUGGGCGUAAAGCGAGCGCAGGCGGUUUGAUAAGUCUGAAGUUAAAGGCUGUGGCUCAACCAUAGUUCGCUUUGGAAACUGUCAAACUUGAGUGCAGAAGGGGAGAGUGGAAUUCCAUGUGUAGCGGUGAAAUGCGUAGAUAUAUGGAGGAACACCGGUGGCGAAAGCGGCUCUCUGGUCUGUAACUGACGCUGAGGCUCGAAAGCGUGGGGAGCGAACAGGAUUAGAUACCCUGGUAGUCCACGCCGUAAACGAUGAGUGCUAGGUGUUGGAUCCUUUCCGGGAUUCAGUGCCGCAGCUAACGCAUUAAGCACUCCGCCUGGGGAGUACGACCGCAAGGUUGAAACUCAAAGGAAUUGACGGGGGCCCGCACAAGCGGUGGAGCAUGUGGUUUAAUUCGAAGCAACGCGAAGAACCUUACCAGGUCUUGACAUCCCGAUGCUAUUUCUAGAGAUAGAAAGUUACUUCGGUACAUCGGUGACAGGUGGUGCAUGGUUGUCGUCAGCUCGUGUCGUGAGAUGUUGGGUUAAGUCCCGCAACGAGCGCAACCCCUAUUGUUAGUUGCCAUCAUUCAGUUGGGCACUCUAGCGAGACUGCCGGUAAUAAACCGGAGGAAGGUGGGGAUGACGUCAAAUCAUCAUGCCCCUUAUGACCUGGGCUACACACGUGCUACAAUGGUUGGUACAACGAGUUGCGAGUCGGUGACGGCAAGCUAAUCUCUUAAAGCCAAUCUCAGUUCGGAUUGUAGGCUGCAACUCGCCUACAUGAAGUCGGAAUCGCUAGUAAUCGCGGAUCAGCACGCCGCGGUGAAUACGUUCCCGGGCCUUGUACACACCGCCCGUCACACCACGAGAGUUUGUAACACCCGAAGUCGGUGAGGUAACCUUUNNAGCCAGCCG